UCUGGUUGAUCCUGGCAGAGGUCACUGCUAUCGGGGUUCGACUAAGCCAUGCAAGUCGAGAGGAGUAAAGCCCUCGGCGAACUGCUCAGUAACACGUGGAUAACCUGACCUAGGGUGGAGGAUAACCCCGGGAAACUGGGGAUAAUACUCCAUAGGCUACGGAAGCUGGAAUGCUCUGUAACCCAAAGCUCCGGCGCCCUAGGAUGGGUCUGCGGCCGAUUAGGUUGUUGUUGGGGUAACGGCCCAACAAGCCGAUCAUCGGUACGGGUUGUGGGAGCAAGAGCCCGGAGAUGGAUUCUGAGACAUGAAUCCAGGCCCUACGGGGCGCAGCAGGCGCGAAAACUUUACAAUGCGGGAAACCGUGAUAAGGGGACCCCGAGUGCCUGUACACGCAGGCUGUUCAGGUGUUUAAAACGCAUCUGGAGAAAGGGCCGGGCAAGACCGGUGCCAGCCGCCGCGGUAAUACCGGCGGCUCGAGUGGUGGCCACUAUUACUGGGCUUAAAGCGUCCGUAGCCGGGUCGUUAAGUCUCUUGGGAAAUCCAACGGCUCAACCGUUGGGCGUUCAAGGGAUACUGGCGAUCUAGGGACUGGGGGAGGUGAGAGGUACUCUAGGGGUAGGAGUGAAAUCCUGUAAUCCUUGGGGGACCACCUGUGGCGAAGGCGUCUCACCAGAACAGCUCCGACGGUGAGGGACGAAAGCUGGGGGAGCAAACCGGAUUAGAUACCCGGGUAGUCCCAGCUGUAAACGAUGCGCGUUAGGUGUAUCGGUGACUACGAGUUACCGAGGUGCCGAAGGGAAACCGUGAAACGUGCCGCCUGGGAAGUACGGUCGCAAGGCUGAAACUUAAAGGAAUUGGCGGGGGAGCACCACAACGGGUGGAGCCUGCGGUUUAAUUGGACUCAACGCCGGGAAGCUCACCGGGUAAGCCAGCGGAGUGAUAGCCAGGCUGAAGACUUUGCUUGACCAGCUGAGAGGAGGUGCAUGGCCGUCGUCAGUUCGUACUGUGAAGCAUCCUGUUAAGUCAGGCAACGAGCGAGACCCA
rnacentral:rRNA from 1 species